ACAUUUCACUAUCUGAAGAGCAGAAAAUGUGUUAAUAGGAGCCUGGUGAGUGGAGGAGACUGAAGAUGGAGAGAGAGCCUGGACCUCAACAUGAGCAUUUGGAGCCAUUUGGCAGCAUUAGGCUGUGACCGCUUAGAGAACCGAAAGAAACACCACCUGGAACACAGCUGUGACUUGAUAAACAAGUGAAAUAUUCUUUGGUGUGGUGAGGGGAAAACAAAUUUCUCAAAGGACACACACCAUGGUGUAUGAGAGGACACUGGAGCCCAGCCAGCAUCUGACAUGCUGAAUUCAAAGUGCAGAUGAAAGUAGGACAACUGAUUCACAAGCUGGGAUGCCUGUGUUGUUGUUUGCCAGUGUGCGUGUGUGUGUUUUCCUGGCACCCUUCAUUCAUUCCCCAGCACAGUUGACAUCAGGUUGGAAGCAGUGAGUUCUGAGGGAGACUGCUAGAGGACCCAACUUGGAGAAUCAACGAUCUGCGAUGAAGAUAAUGAAGAUAAAGACAAUGUCAAUGUCAGCGUCCAAAAUCAUAAGGACCCUUU
rnacentral:lncRNA from 1 species